rnacentral:rRNA from 1 species
AACGAACGCUGGCGGCAGGCCUAACACAUGCAAGUCGAGCGAGCAUUUCGGUGCUAGCGGCGGACGGGUGAGUAACGCGUGGGAACGUGCCCUUUUCUGCGGAAUAGUCCUGGGAAACUGGGGGUAAUACCGCAUACGCCCUUUUGGGGAAAGAUUUAUCGGAGAAGGAUCGGCCCGCGUUGGAUUAGGUAGUUGGUGGGGUAAUGGCCCACCAAGCCGACGAUCCAUAGCUGGUUUGAGAGGAUGAUCAGCCACACUGGGACUGAGACACGGCCCAGACUCCUACGGGAGGCAGCAGUGGGGAAUCUUAGACAAUGGGGGCAACCCUGAUCGAGCCAUGCCGCGUGAGUGAUGAAGGCCUUAGGGUUGUAAAGCUCUUUAAGCUGGGAAGAUAAUGACGGUACCAGCAGAAGAAGCCCCGGCUAACUCCGUG